rnacentral:misc_RNA from 1 species
AACAUCGCGCACCUGCGGGAACCUGCGGAAGGAUCAUUAACGCGCCGUGGAGGUCACCUUUAAACAGGUCUGACCUUCCACCUGGCCACCCUUGUUUAUCUUUAACCUGUUGCUUUGGUGGGCCCGCUGCAAGGCCGCCGGGGAAUUUAAAAGUUUUCUGGCCUGUGCCCACCAAAGUCCUAGUGAACUCUUUGUUAAUUUUCUGCUGUCUGAGCAUUAAAAAGCAAAUUUUUAAAACUU